CAUUUAUCAGUGAUGCUCAAAAUAAAUGUCUGAACAUAUGAAAUUUUUAUGAUUCACAUUUUUGUACUGAGAUGAAUG